rnacentral:rRNA from 1 species
UACGUAGGGUGCGAGCGUUAAUCGGAAUUACUGGGCGUAAAGCGUGCGCAGGCGGUCUGUUAAGACCGAUGUGAAAUCCCCGGGCUUAACCUGGGAACUGCAUUGGUGACUGGCAGGCUUUGAGUGUGGCAGAGGGAGGUAGAACUCCACGUGUAGCAGUGAAAUGCGUAGAGAUGUGGAGGAAUACCGAUGGCGAAGGCAGCCUCCUGGGCCAACACUGACGCUCAUGCACGAAAGCGUGGGGAGCAAACAGG